rnacentral:lncRNA from 1 species
UGGAACUAAAACAUAUCUAUAGAAUGUUUCACACAUUGAUUUAAGUGCUUUUUGGGAAUUUGAGAAGCCUUAGAUGAGAAUUCUCUGUUUCUGUCUAUAACACAUUUUUAAUUGGGUAAUUUGAUUUUCUGGAGGCUAAUUUCUUGAGUGGUUUGUAUAUUUUGGAUAUUAGCAUUGUAUCAGAUGUAGAGUUACUGACAAUAUUCUCCCAAUGCGUGCAUUGCCAUUUUAUCUUAUUGAGAGUGUUCUUUAACUUCCAGAAGUUUUUCAUUUCCAUUUGUCAAUUGUUAAUCUUACAGCCUGAGCCAUUGGUGAUAUGUUCAAGAAAUAUUCCCCAGAAACUAUGUAUCUGGUUUUAUGUAGAGGUCCUUGAUCAAGGUGAACAUGAGCUUCGAACAAGAUCAAGGGUCUAAAGGAUCUCAGAUGCAGAGCCCCAGGCCAGACAGUGCUUCAGAAUCCUCCAGGGGCAAAAUGUGAAUUGAAAAGUAAAU